UUUUUGGACUCAUUUUAAUGGGUUGUGCAUGGCAACCCAAUAUGCUCACACAUGCACACAAGAAUCACAUGCAGAAAUCAAAGUUUCAAGACAGGACAGCUACUGCAUGUGCCUGCACUCUGGUAUUUUCGAGUUUGUUUUCUUUUUUCUUACUUAGUAUAACCUAGUAAAUUGAAUUUACAACCCACUAAGAAGUCACAGCCUGAGGACUGGAAAACAGUGAAUUAAACAACCUCUUUGAGCGCUCUAGCUCUUCCAGAAAACCAGGUUUGGCUGCAACAUCCUCAGCAUGCGUCAGCAAGGAGGGAGGCAACUCAGCCCAUGUCCCCAUGUUACACAGGAGACAGAACAGGGGCUCUCCGUGGACUGCCCCAUUAAGUCAGUCGGAGCGCUUAGACUCAGAUCGCCCAAACUUCAUGGAUUUCCACUCGAUCACACUAACUUUCCACGCGGCUUUCAAAGUCAUUGCUAAGCCCUGUUUCCAUGAUGCCACACUCAAGUUUUAAGUGGAAAUCUAUUAUGAGAUGGAAACUUGUUUUGGAAACUAGACUGCUGCAGAAAAAGCACACUGUCAAGAGUCUUCGCUUCAGGUGCAGUGGGUGGGAAGAACCUACAGCAUGCAGUCUACAGGGUAGCUGCUUUUAAAAGCGAGUUUCGGGCCGGGCGCGAUGGCUCAAGCCUGUAAUCCCAGCACUUUGGGAGGCCGAGACGGGUGGAUCACAAGGUCAGGAGAUCGAGACCAUCCUGGCUAACACGGUGAAACCCCGUCUCUACUAAAAAAUACAAAAAACUAGCCGGGCGAGCUGGCGGGCGCCUGUGGUCCCAGCUACUCGGGAGGCUGAGGCAGGAGAAUGGCGGGAACCCGGGAGGCGGAGCUUGCAGUGAGCUGAGAUCAGGCCACUGCACUCCAGCCUGGGCGACAGAGCGAGACUCUGUCUCAAAAAAAUAAAUAAAUAAAUAAAAGCGAGUUUCGGGGGGCGCUGGGGGGACCACUAGAACUAUCAUUCAACAGUCAUUUGCUGCUCUCCAGGAAACGCCAGCAGCUGCAGACAACAUCUGGAAUCAGAAGUGAACACCUGAGUAAUGACCCUCCAGGCCAUAAAGAUGGUCUUCCGAUGAGAAAGCCAGGGCUCCCAGACACCACGUGUCCUGCAUGGAAUCGCUGUCUGGCCAAUGGCAGGGCCCACGAGGAAGCCUGGGACUUUCAAGGACGGCCCCGCACUAUUCUAAAAAUGUUUCCACCAUCAAUACCCACUUGAAUGGGCCCAUGCCUGUGGGAAGGCACUAUCAACUCACACCAGUUCCAAAGGAAGAAACCCAGGCUCAGGGGCUUCCCAGUGAAGACAAGCACAUAGCCCCGCCCCCCGAAAACCACGCCCCAGACUAGAGUGUGAGGUCCUCCACUGGACAGACCCCGUGGCUCCUCCUCAGGAUCCUAGAAUAGGCUGCUCAGUGACAUGCGCUGAAGGGGGCAGGGACAGGCGCUGGGAGAUCCUGCCCGUGCAGACAAAGUCCUCUCAGGAAGCAAACCACAUUUCCAAUCUGCUGAACCACGCUCAGUAAAAUAAAAUCCAGGCUAAUUAGCUAUGCCCUCAACUCAAAAGGAAUCUGAAGAGUACACAAGUUAGUUACACGUUGUAACCAAAGCAGUUAGGGAAAGCUUCUGAGAUGAUGAAAACCAAGGGAAAGGGGAUGGAGAUGAACAAAAAUGACCUCAUUAAGCGAGAGGCAGGAGAAGCCACACCACUUCUGGAAAAGUGUAACAAUAAGGCAAGAACUCAGGUUCCUAGGGAGAGGGACAUGGGCUGAGGUUGACUUGGUGCCUGCAAGCAAAUUCCUUAACUUCCCUGCCCUCUUGGCACCUCAUGCCCGACACAGCCUCUGGUAUUGGGACGGCUGUGGUAUCAGUGGGCUGCUCUCCUUCAGGCCGAGCCGCCCCUGUGGCGCGCCGGGCUCACCUCGUCCUCCUUGUCGUUGCAGAUGCCGCGGACCUAGUCCUGCAGGUUACUGUCGAACAUGCAGUCGAUGAUGCCCUUCACCAUCUUGAGGGCCAUCGCGGCGGCCCACGGGCUUUGCCCCGGGAGGCCCGCGACCGGUCGCCGUGAGGGGGUCCGAGGGCCGCGCCCGCCUCCCGUGGACCGCUGUACUGCCGGCUCCUGCGGCGGGUCAGGCUCCCAGGCCAGGGCGGCGGCGUCCGAGGACUGCGGCAGAGGCGGCGACCCGCUAGGCACGGUCCGCGAUCCCACUCCGGGACACUUGCAAACGGCGAAC
rnacentral:lncRNA from 1 species